rnacentral:rRNA from 1 species
UCAUUAAUCAAGAACGAAAGUUAGAGGUUCGAAGGCGAUUAGAUACCGCCCUAGUUCUAACCAUAAACGAUGCCAGCUAGCGAUCUGAGGACGUUUUUUUUGUAGACUCCUCAGGGAGCUUCCGGGAAACCAAAGCGUGUGGGUUCCGGGGGAAGUAUGGUUGCAAAGCUGAAACUUAAAGGAAUUGACGGAAGGGCACCACCAGGAGUGGAGCCUGCGGCUUAAUUUGACUCAACACGGGAAAUCUCACCAGGCCCGGACACUGGAAGGAUUGACAGAUUGAGAGCUCUUUCUCGAUUCGGUGGGUGGUGGUGCAUGGCCGUUCUUAGUUGGUGGAGUGAUUUGUCUGGUUAAUUCCGAUAACGAACGAGACUCUGUCCUGCUAAAUAGUGUCAGCCUCUCUUCUGGGCUGACAAUUCUUCUUAGAGGGACUGGCGGCUCCUAGCCGCACGAGAUAGAGCAAUAACAGGUCUGUGAUGCCCUUAGAUGUUCUGGGCCGCACGCGCGCUACACUGAAUAGAUCAGCGUGUUCUCCCUUCCUGAGAAGGACGGGUAAACCGCUGAACCCUAUUCGUGGUAGGGAUCGGGGCUUGCAAUUAUUCCCCGUGAACCAGGAAUUCCCAGUAGGCGCAAGUCAUAAGCUUGCGUCGAUUACGUCCCUGCCCUUUGUACACACCGCCCGUCGCUACUACCGAUUGAACGUUUUAGUGAGGUCCACGGACUGUUUGCCAAGCGGAUUAUUCUGCCUGGCUGGCGGGAAGUCGACCAAA